rnacentral:misc_RNA from 1 species
UUGUGGAGGAGGACGCCGAAGGUGGGGCUAAUGACUGGGGUGAAGUCGUAACAAGGUAGCCGUACCGGAAGGUGCGGCUGGAUCACCUCCUAACAGGGAGACAACAAAAUGUUUAAUAUUAUUAUUUUGUCACCUUAGGUCGAUCGGUAUCUCACGUUUUUAAUUUAUUAAAAAUUUCAUUUCCUAAGUUUUUCUAGGUCACACCCAUUUUUUUUCCUGGGCCAUUAGCUCAGGUGGUUAGAGCGCACCCCUGAUAAGGGUGAGGUCCCUGGUUCAAGUCCAGGAUGGCCCAUAUCUCUAUGUUGGGGGUAUAGCUCAGUUGGUAGAGCGCCUGCUUUGCAAGCAGGAUGUCAGCGGUUCGAGUCCGCUUACCUCCACUGAUCACCACCUCUUCCAUAAUCGGUAGAAAGGAAAUUUUUUGAGUUGUGAUCAAAUUCUGAAGGAAUCUAGCUUCCUAAUGAAAUCAUUAAGAUGCUGGAUUCAUUGAAUUAAUUUCACUGUUUUCAGAGAACCUUGACAACUGCAUAGAUUAUUUUUAAAGACAAUAAGCAUCUUUAAUGAUGCAGAUUUAUUAUUUGUGCAAAUGCAUUAAUAACAAUUCUAUUAAGCUGAUGCUUCAAUAUUGAAGUUAUUGGUCAAGCUACAA